rnacentral:rRNA from 1 species
GACGAACGCUGGCGGCGUGCCUAAUACAUGCAAGUUGAGCGCUGAAGGUUGGUACUUGUACCAACUGGAUGAGCAGCGAACGGGUGAGUAACGCGUGGGGAAUCUGCCUUUGAGCGGGGGACAACAUUUGGAAACGAAUGCUAAUACCGCAUAAAAACUUUAAACACAAGUUUUAAGUUUGAAAGAUGCAAUUGCAUCACUCAAAGAUGAUCCCGCGUUGUAUUAGCUAGUUGGUGAGGUAAAGGCUCACCAAGGCGAUGAUACAUAGCCGACCUGAGAGGGUGCUAGGCCACGUUGGGACUGAGACACGGCCCAAACUCCUACGGGAGGCAGCCGUAGGGAAUCUUCGGCAAUGGAAGAAAGUCUGACCGAGCAACGCCGCGUGAGUGAAGAAGGUUUUCGGAUCGUAAAACUCUGUUGGUAGAGAAGAACGUUGGUGAGAGUGGAAAGCUCAUCAAGUGACGGUAACUACCCAGAAAGGGACGGCUAACUACGUG